rnacentral:rRNA from 1 species
GGAGCGUUACUGACGCUUAAGCUCGAAAGCGCGGGUAUCGAACAGGAUUAGAUACCCUGGUAGUCCGCGCGGUAAACGAUGGAUGCCCGCUGUUUGCGUCUAACGUAAGCGGCCAAGUGAAAACGUUAAGCAUCCCACCUGGGGAGUACGCCGGCAACGGUGAAACUCAAAGGAAUUGACGGGGGCCCGCACAAGCGGAGGAACAUGUGGUUUAAUUCGAUGAUACGCGAGGAACCUUACCCGGGCUUGAAUUGCUGAGGAAAGAUCCAGAGAUGGUGAUGCCCUUCGGGGCCUCAGUGAAGGUGCUGCAUGGUUGUCGUCAGCUCGUGCCGUGAGGUGUCGGCUUAAGUGCCAUAACGAGCGCAACCCCUCUCUUCAGUUGCCAUCAGGCUAUGCUGGGCACUCUGGAGACACUGCCACCGCAAGGUGUGAGGAAGGUGGGGAUGACGUCAAAUCAGCACGGCCCUUACGUCCGGGGCUACACACGUGUUACAAUGGGGGGCACAGAGAGCGGGGUGCGCGCAAGCUUGCCCAAAUCCUUAAAUCCCCCCACAGUUCGGACUGGGGUCUGCAACCCGACCCCACGAAGCUGGAUCGCUAG